rnacentral:rRNA from 1 species
GACGAACGCUGGCGGCGUGCUUAACACAUGCAAGUCGAACGGAAAGGCCCCUUUGGGGGUACUCGAGUGGCGAACGGGUGCGUAACACGUGAGUAACCUGCCCUUGACUUCGGGAUAACUUCAGGAACCUGGGGCUAAUACCGGAUAGGAAUCCUUGCUGCAUGGUGGGGGUUGGAAAGCUUCGGCGGUUUUGGAUGGACUCGCGGCUUAUCAGCUUGUUGGUGGGGUAGUGGCUUACCAAGGCUUUGACGGGUAGCCGGCCUGAGAGGGCGACCGGCCACAUUGGGACUGAGAUACGGCCCAGACUCCUACGGGAGGCAGCAGGGGGGAAUAUUGCACAAGGGGCGGAAGCCUGAUGCAGCAACGCCGCGGGCGGGAUGACGGCCUUCGGGUUGUAAAACGCUUUCAGCAGGGGCGAAGCUUGUGGUGACGGUACCUGCAGAAGAAGCACCGGCUAACUACGUG